CCCUUAGAUGUUCUGGGCCGCACGCGCGCUACACUGACGAAGUCAGCGAGCAUGUCCUACGCCGACAGGUGCGGGGAAUCUUGUCAAACUUCGUCGUGAUGGGGAUUGAUUAUUGAAAUUCUUGAUCAUCAACGAGGAAUUCCUAGUAAGCGCAAGUCAGCAGCUUGCGUUGAUUACGUCCCUGCCCUUUGUACACACCGCCCGUCGCUACUACCGAUUGAAGGGUUUAGUGAGAUCUUCGGAUUGGCGCCACUGCGGCUCAGCAAUGGGCUCGGUGGAUGCCGAAAAGUUGAUCAAACUUGAUCAUUUAGAGGAAGUAAAAGUCGUAACA
rnacentral:rRNA from 1 species